GAUGAACGCUGGCGGCGUGCUUAACACAUGCAAGUCGAACGGAAAGGCUCCUGCUUGCCGGGGUACUCGAGUGGCGAACGGGUGAGUAACACGUGGGUGAUCUGCCCUGCACUUCGGGAUAAGCCUGGGAAACUGGGUCUCAUACCGGAUAGGACGAUGGUUUGGAUGCCAUUGUGGAAAGUGUUUUGGGUGUGGGGUGAGCUCGCGGCCUAUCAGCUUGUGGGUGGGGUGAUGGCCUACCAAGGCGUUGACGGGUAGCCGGCCUGUAAGGGUGUACGGCCACAUUGGGACUGAGAGGCGGCCGAGACGACUACGGGGGGCAGGAGUGGGGAAUAUUGCACAAUGGGCGCAAGCCUGAUGCAGCGACGCCGCGUGGGGGAUGACGGCCUUCGGGUUGUAAACUCCUUUCGCUAGGGACGAAGCGCAAGUGACGGUACCUGGAGAAGAAGCACCGGCUAACGACG
rnacentral:rRNA from 1 species